UUGGCCCCACUGUGCACCACACACUCCUUUCCCAGCCCAGGGGCACGCGAACAAAAUGAGGCUCAAGCUGACCAGGCCGAGCCGGAGGAACGCUGGGGCUUGGCAGCAGAAGGGAUGGGACCAGAGAGAAGGGUGUGGAGGAGACCCCAGUGAGGGCCAGGACAUUUCAGGUAAAGAGAGGUCAUAUCUCCGUACCUCACUUCCUGACACAAACAAGUUUUCACUGUUGUCAGCAACAAAGCCCUAAUAUAGCUGCGGAAGAGAAAAACUGCAUUGCAUUUUGCCUCCUGCAAGCAUCAUCAACAGUUACUGGAGGAACGUAAUUCCAGAAAGCUUGAAAGCCGUGGUGAUGGUAAUUAUGUAUCAAAUGCCUGGUUCUAUUUCUGUUAUUAUUGUUUUGUCAUUUCUGUUUUCCCAGCGAUCUGACUGAACUCGCAGAGGGACAAAUCCAGUUUUUCUUUUUGACUUUUGUCAAACUAAAUCAGGCCUGAUAGAAAACUCAUUGCUCUCCGGGGAAACAAAGUAGGAGCCACGAAAUGUCAUUUUAACAGAGCGUGGGUUUGGUGACUGUAGGAAAGGAUUUGAGGACGCUCCUUCUGUUCGGCUUCCUAUGUCAUGAGCACAGGCUCCACGCACGCACAGACACCACGGCUCCCGGAUGCUGUGGCUCCCCGAUCGGGGCUCCUGCAGCGCCAGAAGCCCCUCCGGGAUGCUUCGAGGGGCUCCCGGUGGGUGGAGGUACGGACGCCGCUGCGGCCGCCGCCGCCAGUCCUGCUGCUGUUGUUGCUGCUGCAGUCACGUGGGAGCCCCUUUAAGUUUCCAUAGAGAGGCCUCUCUGGUGUCACAUGAUGGACAUGAUAUAAUGAAACAACAUUGUGGAGAGGAAAGCAUUAGGGGAGCCCACGGCUACAAAAACAAGUGAGUGAGAAGAGGUGGGAGGAAGAGAAACUACGCCACCUCCCCUGCAGCCGAGUGCACGCAGCAGCCUGGCGUGACAAGUGGGCGACGCCGGGGGGCAGGGAGCCGGGGUCCUUGGCCCUGGCCGGGGACCCCACCGCCCACCGCGCGGAGGACAACUUUUAGCCGGCAGCCCAGACCAGCGCGGCACCUGUCUCCGGAGUCUCCACCGCUCCUCCCGAUUCAUCCCAGGGAAAUUCUCAAGAAUACGCUCUACAAAUCUACGUGCGCAUCAUUUUCACCUCGCGUCGCGCCCGGGAGGAAGGAACGAGGCAAGGAGCUAAAGCAGCGUGCGUUCAGCCCUGGGGCAUUUUAUUAAUGCUUUUACGAGUUAGAAGAGUUGGGAUAAUUUGCCAUCUGGAGUUUCUCUGCCUUGCUGAUCUGAGCUCAGACCUGCCAAUUUACCAGAGAUAAUUGAUAACACCCUGUAACAGCUGAGAGGAAAAUGGAAGAAACGGAGAUACUUUUAGUGAAGCAGAAUAAACCACUGAACAGGAAAAAUGAGGAAGCUGUGAGUACCAGUGGAAGGAACGAGCCAGGAAGAGGGACUGGAACCAUCUCAGAAGCCAUGCCCCUCAGGCUGGAACUUGCCCUGUCUCCUCGCAGAUGAGCUACCUCUUGUGUUUAAGAAUUAAAGGAAGAUGAGCUAGGAAUCAAGAAAUACGCAGAACUGAUUCCUGUCACUGGCGCCACCCUGCCACUUGCCCAGAGCUGUGGUAUAAAUUUUUUUAAUAGGCUGAAAUAAAAAUAUGAAUAGCAUUUUGGUAUUAAGCAUUAAAUUGAUAAAGGCUAUGAGAUACACCUGCUCUCAACCAUGUUAAUUUUUUAUUAUUGGUAUUAAUAAAUUAUUACUUACUAACAUAUUAACAAGAAUUGCAUUGAGAAACAAAGCAUCCACAGGCCAAAUCUUCUGAAUUUCAAAUGUUUAUAUUAAUGCGUUGUAUUCUAGAAAAGUAGAAUUGUCUUAAGUAGCUUUGUAAUAUAAAGUCAUCUAUCAGCCCAUUACACCUAUUAGAAUGUUUUAACCUUUAUUUCCCACUUUUUUGUUUCUAGACUGAGUGUACUUGGUCUGGUAUUUGUGGCAUAACUUACGGAACACAUAAGAAUGAUACAGAUACUAUUUAAUGAUGACCUAAUACAAGCUUAGAUAGCUAAGGUGAAAGCUUCUAUGGCCUUAACAUUUUCCUCUUGAAGAAUGUAUUUUCUGUAAUAAAAUACAGUGGCUACUUGAAAUCUAUAAACUUAUGUGAGGUCUGGAUAAAUCUGAGCAACUUUCUUCUUUGUGCUCCAGGAACCUACGCACUAUAUAUAUAAAUAAAGCUUAAGUAAACAUCACUGCAAAAAAAAAAAAAAAAAA
rnacentral:lncRNA from 1 species